rnacentral:misc_RNA from 1 species
AUUAUUAUUAUUUUUUUUAUCAAUGACCACUUGACCCUGUGAUGAAGACUGCAAAAUCAAUCCUGCACUACUAUUACUUUCACUUAGAGAGAGGACACCUGAGGAAUUCGCUAACUUCCAAGCCUGACUGAGUUCACAUAAUCCAUAGGGCAAUGUGCAGCAAUUCCAGGUAAUGCCAGCCCCAUUACCCUGAACAACAUGGAGAACCACCCCUCCUGGUACUCUGGCCCAUAUAUGUAGCCCAUCAUCAAACUUCUAAUCAACUCCCAUGCAGCAUUUAGGUGCAAUGGAAUCACAUACCUCAACCCAAAGAAAUUUGGGUUGGGCUCCGCAUCGAUUUUCUGUUCAUUGUAGAAGCUGUCAUAGUAGAGGCACACUCCAAAAUGCUUAUACAGGAAGGUUUUGUCAUCACAAGGCAACCUAGGCACAAGGUCAUUGCAAUAGACCACCCUGAAGUAUUUAGGAACUGGAUGUUCCAACUGGGCUUCCAUGAACUUCGCUAGCUGCAUGUUCCCAAUCCUUGGCUGCCCAAAUGUGUAUACACCAAGUAAUCUUUGCAUAAUCUCAUUCUCCUCAUGUAGCACUAGCACACUUGGGAAUAAUACAGCAAGUGCCCCACCUAAGCUGUGUCCUGUAACUACAAACUUGGCAUUCUUGUGCUCCCUGAGUAAGCUCCUGAGCUUCUUUCUCACAGCAUAGUAUGCACUCUUCCUCACCAUUUCGGGUGGAAUAACUGGUCCCUCAGAGUCUGAAGAAUGAUCCCUGAUUUCGGAAUCAGCUUUUGAGGAUACUGAUUCAGUACCUUCUGAAGGACUUGUGGGAUCAUCAACAGCAUUUGAGCGGCUGGGAUUCAUGUUCUUCUUAAGAAGGUGAUAUUUGAAGGUGGUGGUGUUGGCUCUGUUGACCAAACCUAACGCUUCCAAGAAUCCCAUAUGAACUUUUCCCAAUUUUGGGAUCUCAUACCAUGAAUACUCAAAAUCAGUACUCCAAUCAUCAGCAUCAAAAGGCUCUGUGCCCCUAAAGCUGAUCAGUACCAAAUUUGCAUCUGUGGGCUUGUCACAAAGUAUGAACACUUGGGUGGAGUUUUCCUUUUGGAAAUCAUUCCAGCAGUCGUAGAAGUCCACGAAAUGCAUCUUCCAGUGACGCACAAUAUUUUGAACAACUUUGGCAUUCUCAUAAGCUAACUUGGAAGCCAUGAUACAGAGGUCCAUGAGAGCUCUGUUCCCUGAAUCUUCUACAACACUUCCUUCUGCAGAAACCCAAUCAACCACUUGUUCCAGCAAGUUUUUAGCUUUAUAUAGUU